AGCAGCCGCGGUAAUUCCAGCUCCAAUAGCGUAUAUUAAAGUUGUUGCAGUUAAAAAGCUCGUAGUUGAAUUUCGGGGUUAGUAGGUUGGUCAUGCCUCUGGUAUGUACUGGUCUCACUGAUUCCUCCUUCCUGAUGAACCUUAAUGCCAUUUAUUUGGUGUUUUGGGGAAUUUGGACUGUUACUUUGAAAAAAUUAGAGUGUUUAAAGCAAGCUAACGCUUGAAUACAUUAGCAUGAAAUAAUGAAAUAGGACGUUCGAUCCUAUUUUGUUGGUUUCUAGGAUUGACGUAAUGAUUAAUAGGGAUAGUUGGGGGCAUUAGUAUUCAAUUGUCAGAGGUGAAAUUCUUGGAUUUAUUGAAGACUAACUACUGCGAAAGCAUUUGCCAAGGAUGUUUUCAUUAAUCAAGAACGAAAGUUAGGGGAUCGAAGACGAUCAGAUACCGUCGUAGUCUUAACCAUAAACUAUGCCGACUAGGGAUCGGAUGAUGUUAAUUUUUUAAUGACUCA
rnacentral:rRNA from 1 species